GUGGCGAAACUGGCAGACGCGCCAGCCUUAGGAGCUGGUGGGGCAACCCGUGGGAGUUCAAAUCUCCCCCUCGGCA
rnacentral:tRNA from 1 species